rnacentral:rRNA from 1 species
GGCCAAAGAGGGGGACCUUCGGGCCUCUCGCGUCAGGAUAUGCCUAGGUGGGAUUAGCUAGUUGGUGAGGUAAGGGCUCACCAAGGCGACGAUCCCUAGCUGGUCUGAGAGGAUGAUCAGCCACACUGGAACUGAGACACGGUCCAGACUCCUACGGGAGGCAGCAGUGGGGAAUAUUGCACAAUGGGCGCAAGCCUGAUGCAGCCAUGCCGCGUGUAUGAAGAAGGCCUUCGGGUUGUAAAGUACUUUCAGUCGUGAGGAAGGCGGAGUCGUUAAUAGCGGCGUCGUUUGACGUUAGCUACAGAAGAAGCACCGGCUAACUCCGUGCCAGCAGCCGCGGUAAUACGGAGGGUGCGAGCGUUAAUCGGAAUUACUGGGCGUAAAGCGCAUGCAGGUGGUUUGUUAAGUCAGAUGUGAAAGCCCGGGGCUCAACCUCGGAAUAGCAUUUGAAACUGGCAGACUAGAGUACUGUAGAGGGGGGUAGAAUUUCAGGUGUAGCGGUGAAAUGCGUAGAGAUCUGAAGGAAUACCGGUGGCGAAGGCGGCCCCCUGGACAGAUAC